rnacentral:sRNA from 1 species
AUAUCUCUCUGUACGGGAAGGAUGAGAAGCUUCGACUAAGCUUCGAUUCGAGCGAAAGCGAGAAAGCGUUGCCGCAGGCAACGACCCGAAGGGCGAAACGCGCAGCGCUGAGUCAUCCUUCCCCCACCACCA